CAAAGAGGUCAAAUGCAUUUAAUGCGGUCUAGCCUCGUGGCCUAUGUCUUUCGAUACUGCUACGUAUUGGAAAAUAACAUGAGAUUUCAUUUCACCGUUUAAAAUAGAGUCGACGUCUACGUGACCUCACACAGGCAGACACCCUUUGUGCAGGAGCCUCCUUCCCACCAGGCCCCCCACCCCCCUCCGGGGCCCUCGGGCGGGCGGGCGGGGACCGGGCGGCACAGCACCAGGGGGGACGGGGCGGGGGACCGGGCUCUGAGCGACCCGCGUGGGCCUGCACGUGGACACGCCACCCCCCACGGACAUUCAUGCUCACACGCUCCGGGACCCGCACAGGUUCACGAAGCCAGGCACACAGCCUGCAGCCCGGGCCGGCUGCUGCACGCAGGCACCACACGCGUGUACACGGGCCUCCUACAUGCACUCGUGUGCACGUGCUCACCUUUGCACACGUGUAGGUGUCACCUCGUGCCCAGGACACAGAAGCCUCACCCUGCCACACGUGCAGCAUGCGUACCCACCCACGUGGACAUCACCAAGGCAGAGGCUGGUGGGACCACCAGGUCCAGCUGUGCCCACGUCCACGGCCGGGGUCCAUCCUGAGUGCAGCGUGCCAGCCUCCAGCCUCGUAAACAUUUAAAAGCCUGAGUAUACAGCGAGUGCACACAGACCUACAGGUAGAUACACCUGGAACGUGUGAGUGCGUGUGUCCCCACACGUACGUAUCAUGCUCAGGUGCCAUCAGCGCAGACUCACAGACGCAGGUCGCCUUGUGCACACACCUGCACGACACGUGUCCACUCCUGUACGAUGACCUCACACGAUCCUGCACAGACAGGCAAAGCCACACGGGACCGGUUCACUCACACGCAGACACGUGGGAAGUCACGCCUCGGGGCACACACACGCUUGCCCCGUGGCCCCUCUCCGCGGAAGCAGCUCGGUGUUUCGGGGCAGAGGGCCCUGGGCCACUCCAGCCUCUGCACCACCGGGCCCAGGCCGGCAGGAAACUUCCCGGAAAUACCACCGCGGGGGGCGGGGGCGGGGGCGGGGCAGGCACACACCCACCUGCACAGCGCACCGGUCACGUAUCACGUACACGCGCGCUUGGCACACACGCAGCACGCGGCACGCCGCACGCUCGCUGGGUGAGCGUGGACCCCACGCUGCACACACAGGCACACCGCCCCAGGGACCACGUGAUCCUCCCUCUGCACACACAGCCCCUCCCAUCCGCCCUCCCGGUUCAAGGGCACUAAAGAGGGAGACUAUUUUGGUCUUUAGCAGAAGCAAUCAAUCAAUCAAUAAAUAAAUAAAAUACAGAGGAGGGAAAAAGAGGGCAGCAGAGUUCGAAAACGUAGCAUCUGCCUUUGGUGAGAAGUAAAAGGCAGCUUGGGAUGGCUCUCCUGCAGGGACCGAGGCCCAAGCCGUCAGGCACGGGGCCUGGAGGCAGCCAGGCCCGAGAGGAGGAGCACCAGGCCCCCGGGUCGGCCAGGACCUUGGGGGGUCCAGGGCUCUACCCGGGAUGGGCUGAGUCGGGGGUUGGGCCGCCAGGCCCGUGUGCCCGCCCCGAGGGACCAGACUGCCUCCUCCCCUCCCGGCUCAGCCUGAGAUCUGGGUGGGGGGUGGGGUGGGGUCUGAGGCUAGGGCGGGGUGUGGGUCAGGCGUGUCUCUGGGUGGGAGUGGAGAGCCAGGCUCAGACCUCAGGGCCGGGCCUCCAGCUGCUGCAGGAGAAGAGGAAGGGGGAAGAGGUCGCAGGCCCCACCACCGCAGGUCCCCGCCUCUCCGUGGGCCUCACCCACCUGCACGCAGCCUCCGUC
rnacentral:lncRNA from 1 species